rnacentral:rRNA from 1 species
AUUGAACGCUGGCGGCAGGCCUAACACAUGCAAGUCGAACGAGUGGCGGACGGGUGAGUAAUGUCUGGGAAACUGCCUGAUGGAGGGGGAUAACUAUUGGAAACGGUAGCUAAUACCGCAUACCAUCGGAUGUGCCCAGAUGGGAUUAGCUAGUAGGGGGGGUAAAGGCUCACCUAGGCGACGAUCCCUAGCUGGUCUGAGAGGAUGACCAGCAACACUGGAACUGAGACACGGUCCAGACUCCUAAGGGAGGCAGCAGUGGGGAAUAUUGCGCAAGGGGCGAAAGCCUGAUGCAGGCAUGCCGCGUGUGUGAAGAAGGCCGUCGGGUUGUAAAGUACUUUCAGCGGGGAGGCGUUACCCGCAGAAGAAGCACCGGCUAACUCCGUGCCAGCAGCCGCGGUAAUUC